AGAGUUUGAUCAUGGCUCAGGACGAACGCUGGCGGCGUGCUUAACACAUGCAAGUCGAACGGAGUGUCCCAGACAGAGGUUUCGGCCAAUGGAAGGGAACACUUAGUGGCGGACUGGUGAGUAACGCGUGAGGAACCUGCCUUUCAGAGGGGGACAACAGUUGGAAACGACUGCUAAUACCGCAUGACGCAUUUAGGUGGCAUCACCUGAAUGCCAAAGAUUUAUCGCUGAAAGAUGGCCUCGCGUCUGAUUAGCUAGUUGGUGGGGUAACGGCCCACCAAGGCGACGAUCAGUAGCCGGACUGAGAGGUUGACCGGCCACAUUGGGACUGAGAUACGGCCCAGACUCCUACGGGAGGCAGCAGUGGGGAAUAUUGGGCAAUGGACGCAAGUCUGACCCAGCAACGCCGCGUGAAGGAAGAAGGCUUUCGGGUUGUAAACUUCUUUUAAGUGGGAAGAGCAGAAGACGGUACCACUUGAAUAAGCCACGGCUAACUACGUGCCAGCAGCCGCGGUAAUACGUAGGUGGCAAGCGUUGUCCGGAUUUACUGGGUGUAAAGGGCGUGUAGCCGGGUGUGCAAGUCAGAUGUGAAAUCUGGAGGCUCAACCUCCAAACUGCAUUUGAAACUGUGCAUCUUGAGUAUCGGAGAGGUAAUCGGAAUUCCUUGUGUAGCGGUGAAAUGCGUAGAUAUAAGGAAGAACACCAGUGGCGAAGGCGGAUUACUGGACGACAACUGACGGUGAGGCGCG
rnacentral:rRNA from 1 species